rnacentral:rRNA from 1 species
CCAACUCCAAGAGUGUAUCUUAAUGUUGCUGCAGUUAAAAAGCUCGUAGUUGAAUUUCUGAGGAUGGGAGAAGCCUUCCGGUGGAUCCCGUCUUCAUCCGCUUGGAGAGGCUGUGUGACCUUCACUGGGAGCACAGAUGACCCAGCAUUUUACUUUGAAGAAAUUAGAGUGUUCAUGGCAGGCUGUGCUUGCAUAAAUUAGCAUGGAAUAAUGGAAUAAGACUAGUCUGUUUUAUUGGUUGACAGAAUAGUAAUGAUUAACAGGGACAGUCGGGGGCAUUCGUACUCAGUGGCCAGAGGUGAAAUUCUUAGACUCGCUGAAGACGCACUAAUGCGAAAGCAUUUGCCAAGGAUGUUUUCA